rnacentral:rRNA from 1 species
AGAGAGAGACAUGCGCGCAUAUCAAUAAGCGGAGGAAAAGAAACUAACAAGGAUUCCCCUAGUAACGGCGAGUGAAGCGGGAAGAGCUCAAAUUUGAAAUCUUAAAGGGUUUCCCUUUACGAAUUGUAGUUUAAAGAAGUGUUUUCUGUUGAGGUUUUGGUAAAAGUUCUUUGGAAUAGGACAUCAUAGAGGGUGAGAAUCCCGUAUUUGACCUUUACUUUCAACUUUGUGAUACACUUUCAAAGAGUCGGAUUGUUUGGGAAUGCAGUCCAAAAUGGGUGGUAAAUUUCAUCUAAAGCUAAAUAUUGGCGAGAGACCGAUAGCGAACAAGUACCGUGAGGGAAAGAUGAAAAGAACUUUGAAAAGAGAGUUAAACAGUACGUGAAAUUGUCAAGAGGGAAGCGUUUGACACCAGUGUUGUUUUUCUGAAAAUCAAUUAAAGAACUGUUUAUGCUAAGUUGUUUAGACUUUAUCAGCUAACUGUUUAGUUUUGAGCUUUUCUUUAAUGCACUUUUCAGUUAACAAGUCAACAUCAAUUUCUUUUGCUGUAAAAAAGCUUGAGGAAGGUGGCUUGAGAUUCGUCUUAAGUGUUUAUAGCCUCUUGCCUAUGCAGUCGGAGAGAUUGAGGUCUGCAGCGUAGAUCCUUCGGGGCUAAAUGCAUUUGUGCUAAGUUAUAGCAUUUUAUAGACAACUUGUUGACUAUGAUUUGUCUUGUAGCUUACUCGCUUAUGUUAUUUUACCUACGCUUAGGAUGUUGACGCAUGAGAUAUACGC